GUCGACUUUACUUCAUAGGAUCAUCUAUUUAGUAAACGUCCAACACUAGAUUUCCAAUCUAGUCACAGUAAUCCAACGAGGUUGAUGAGUUAAAACGCGGUCGCCCGUCGAGUGAGGUUUUCGCUCCGUGGUUCUUUGGAAUCUAGUUUGGGCUCGAUGAACUCUGGGUUCCGAUGGUUUCUUCGGAAGCUUCGGAAUCUGGGUGGCCGUCGUUUUCUGACUCGU
rnacentral:snoRNA from 1 species